GGGGGGACCACCCCCCAAGGCUAAAUACUACUUGAUGACCGAUAGCGGAAUAGUACCGUGAGGGAAAGGUGAAAAGUACCCCGGGAGGGGAGUGAAAGAGAACCUGAAACCCUAUGUUUACAAGCAGACAAAGCGAUUUAAAGCGCGAUGUUGUACUUUUUGUAGAACGGUCCAGCGAGUUAUUGUAUAUGGCGAGGUUAAGUUGUGUGUAAGCAACGAAGCCGAAGAGAAAUCGAGUCUGAAAAGGGCGUAUAAGUCAUAUAUAAUAGACCCGAAACCGGGUGACCUAUCCAUGGUCAGGAUGAAGCUAAAGUAAAAUUUAGUGGAGGUCCGAACUGAUUGUCGUUAAAAAGGCACCGGAUGAACUGUGGAUAGCGGAGAAAUUCCAAUCGAACUCGGAGAUAGCUGGUUCUCCUCGAAAUAGCUUUAGGGCUAGCCUUGAGGGAAGAUAUGUGGGGGUAGAGCACUGAAUGAUUUAGGGGCCUAACCAGGUUACCGACAUCUAUCAAACUGCGAAUACCAUAUAUUAAUACUCAGGAGUCAGACUGCGGGAGCUAAGUUCCGUGGUCAAAAGGGAAAGAGCCCAGACCAUCAAUUAAGGUCCCAAAGAUAUAGUUAAGUGGAAAACGAUGUGAAUUUGCGUAAACAACCAGGAUGUUGGCUUAGAAGCAGCCAUUCAUUUAAAGAGUGCGUAAUAGCUCACUGGUCGAGUGAGUUUGCGCGGAAAAUUACCGGGGCUAAACUAUACACCGAAAUUGUGGAUUUAAUAUUGAAAGACAUAUUAAGUGGUAGAGGAGCAUUCCAUAGUAGGACGAAGCUAAAGCGAGAGCAUUAGUGGACGAGAUGGAAGAGAGAAUGCUGGAAUAAGUAGCGAGAGCAAGGUGAGAAUCCUUGCCGUCGAAAGUCUAAGGUUUCCUGGGGAAGGUUCGUCCGCCCAGGGUAAGUCGGGACCUAAGGAGAGGCCGAAAGGCGUAUCUGAUGGAUAGCAGGUGGAAAUUCCUGCACUAUAGCCAUACUUAAAAGAUGCAAGGGACGCAGGAGAGGAAGAUAACCGAGGAAGAGGAAAAACUCGGAUCGAAAGAUGGAGUGAAAAUAGAAGUAACGAAGUAUCAAGAAUCACACUGACGAGAAAAGCUUGUAGAGAUUGUAUGGAAAUACCCGUACCGCAAACCGACACAGGUAGAUGAGGAGAGGAUCCUAAGACGAACGGGAGAAGCAUUGUUAAGGAACUCGGCAAAAUAACCCCGUAACUUCGGGAGAAGGGGAGCCUAUGUAAAAGUAGGCCGCAGUGAAAAGGCCCAAGCAACUGUUUAACAAAAACACAGGUUUCUGCUAAAUCGAAAGAUGAAGUAUAGGAGCUGACGCCUGCCCAGUGCUGGAAGGUUAAGGGGAAAUGUUAGGAGCAAUCCGAAGCAUAGAACUGAAGCCCCAGUGAACGGCGGCCGUAACUAUAACGGUCCUAAGGUAGCGAAAUUCCUUGUCAGGUAAGUUCUGACCCGCACGAAAGGCGUAAUGAUUUGGGCACUGUCUCGACAAUGUACCCGGCGAAAUUGUAGUACUAGUGAAGAUGCUAGUUACCUGCGACAAGACAGAAAGACCCCAUGGAGCUUUACUGCAGCUUGAUACUGGGUUUCGGUAAUUUAUGUACAGGAUAGGUGGGAGACUAUGAAGGCAGAGCGUCAGCUUUGCUGGAGUCAAUGUUGGGAUACCACCCUUAAGUUACUGGAAUUCUAACUAGUGGUCAUAACCUGGCCAGAGGACAAUGUCAGGCGGGCAGUUUGACUGGGGCGGUCGCCUCCAAAAGAGUAACGGAGGCGCCCAAAGGUUUCCUCAGCGCGGACAGAAAUCGCGCGAAAGAGUGUAAAGGCAGAAGGAAGCUUAACUGGAAGACAGACAUGUCGAGCAGAUACGAAAGUAGGGCUUAGUGAUCCGGUGGAAUUGAAUGGAAAAGCCAUCGCUCAACGGACAAAAGUUACCCUGGGGAUAACAGGCUUAUCUCCCCCAAGAGUUCACAUCGACGGGGAGGUUUGGCA
rnacentral:rRNA from 1 species